GGGAUAUAGCUUAGCUGGUAGAGUGCUUGCCUCCCAUGCAUAAGGCCCUGGGUUCAAUCCCCAGCACCCG
rnacentral:tRNA from 1 species